rnacentral:rRNA from 1 species
GAUGAACGCUGGCGGCGUGCCUAAUACAUGCAAGUCGAGCGAACAGACGAGGAGCUUGCUCCUUUGACGUUAGCGGCGGACGGGUGAGUAACACGUGGAUAACCUACCUAUAAGACUGGGAUAACUUCGGGAAACCGGAGCUAAUACCGGAUAACAUGUUGAACCGCAUGGUUCAACAGUGAAAGACGGUCUUGCUGUCACUUAUAGAUGGAUCCGCGCCGCAUUAGCUAGUUGGUAAGGUAACGGCUUACCAAGGCAACGAUGCGUAGCCGACCUGAGAGGGUGAUCGGCCACACUGGAACUGAGACACGGUCCAGACUCCUACGGGAGGCAGCAGUAGGGAAUCUUCCGCAAUGGGCGAAAGCCUGACGGAGCAACGCCGCGUGAGUGAAGAAGGUCUUCGGAUCGUAAAACUCCGUUAUUAGGGAAGAACAAAUGUGUAAGUAACUAUGCACGUCUUGACGGUACCUAAUCAGAAAGCCACGGCUAACUACGUG